rnacentral:lncRNA from 1 species
AUGCAGCCUCAAAAGAAUGACAAGAAUAAGAAGCAGGAAGACUUCCGGCCUUCCUGCUUCUUACUGCUACAUUUCUUCUUAAACAGGGGUAUCAUUUUGAAAGAAAGCACCCUCUUGCAAGAUGAGGACAAUUUUCAACUCCAGGUUUUGGUCUCCUAUCAAGAAAAGGAUAUGGGGGUUUUAAUGAGACUGAUGAAACUACUCAGGAAGAUAAGAAAUCCCAACAAGUUUGAACACAGCUUGAUACACCUAUCGUCAACCUUAUUUGGUUCCUAAAUUCUGUUUUUCUUCAUUUGGAUCUCUACCUUUUCAUCUGUCAUUGCUGCACAGACUUUAAAUUCAGUGUCAAAUCUCAAAUACAUUGCUGAUAAAAAAAAAAAUCUUUAGUUAUAUACAUAGGUUUCUAACCUUAGUCAUGAUUUGUUUUCCCUUUUGUACAUGAUAGUAUUGAAAGGAGUGACUCAGACAUAGGUUUAUACAAAGGACUUAGAAAUUCAGAAAAUUUCCCAAGGCUACUAAACCUGCUUAAACCCCCCAAGAAUUCCCUCUUACAUAUAACCUCCAUCUUCCUUUAAAUUUAACGAACAUAGUUUAAAUAUUCUUUGCAAGGCCCUUCUCUCACUUUUAGCCAUUCUAUUGGAACAACUUUUUUUUCCUUACACUUUUUCAAAAUUCUAAGUCACAGAAAAAUUUGUGGCUUGCCUAUUUGAAAAUUCUACCGAAUUUAUCAAGAUUAGAGCUAAAAUCAAUCCAAAGGCAAAACAAAAACAGCCAAAUGUAGAAAAUUAUCAAACUAUUUUUUUUCUUUUUUCUUUUUGAAGUCAGUCAUUCUAGUUAUCUUUGAAACUCUACACCAUGAUAUCUGUAACCAGUUCACUAGGAGCCUUGAUUGCUCAUCUUCCUUUUCAAAAACCAAGAAAUUCCAUUAUUUUCAGGGACUCCAACAUUCUUCUGAUGUUUUCAAAAUGGAAAAUCAUCCCAUCUUUUAAAAUAAUAUUAUAACUAUAUCACGGGAUACUUUAAAAUAUACAUAUAAACAUAUUAUAAG